rnacentral:rRNA from 1 species
CAUGGCAAGUCGAACGCUUCUUUUUCCACCGGUAAGCUUGCUCCACCGGAAAAAGAGGAGUUGGCGAACGGGUGAGUAACACGUGGGUAACCUGCCCAUCAGAAGGGGAUAACACUUGGAAACAGGUGCUAAUACCGUAUAACAAUCGAAACCGCAUGGUUUUGAUUUGAAAGGCGCUUUCGGGUGUCGCUGAUGGAUGGACCCGCGGUGCAUUAGCUAGUUGGUGAGGUAACGGCUCACCAAGGCGACGAUGCAUAGCCGACCUGAGAGGGUGAUCGGCCACAUUGGGACUGAGACACGGCCCAAACUCCUACGGGAGGCAGCAGUAGGGAAUCUUCGGCAAUGGACGAAAGUCUGACCGAGCAACGCCGCGUGAGUGAAGAAGGUUUUCGGAUCGUAAAACUCUGUUGUUAGAGAAGAACAAGGAUGAGAGUAACUGUUCAUCCCUUGACGGUAUCUAACCAGAAAGCCACGGCUAACUACGUGCCAGCAGCCGCGGUAAUACGUAGGUGGCAAGCGUUGUCCGGAUUUAUUGGGCGUAAAGCGAGCGCAGGCGGUUUCUUAAGUCUGAUGUGAAAGCCCCCGGCUCAACCGGGGAGGGUCAUUGGAAACUGGGAGACUUGAGUGCAGAAGAGGAGAGUGGAAUUCCAUGUGUAGCGGUGAAUGCGUAGAUAUAUGGAGGAACACCAGUGGCGAAGGCGGCUCUCUGGUCUGUAACUGACGCUGAGGCUCGAAAGCGUGGGGAGCAAACAGGAUUAGAUACCCUGGUAGUCCACGCCGUAAACGAUGAGUGCUAAGUGUUGGAGGGUUUCCGCCCUUCAGUGCUGCAGCUAACGCAUUAAGCACUCCGCCUGGGGAGUACGACCGCAAGGUUGAAACUCAAAGGAAUUGACGGGGGCCCGCACAAGCGGUGGAGCAUGUGGUUUAAUUCGAAGCAACGCGAAGAACCUUACCAGGUCUUGACAUCCUUUGACCACUCUAGAGAUAGAGCUUCCCCUUCGGGGGCAAAGUGACAGGUGGUGCAUGGUUGUCGUCAGCUCGUGUCGUGAGAUGUUGGGUUAAGUCCCGCAACGAGCGCAACCCUUAUUGUUAGUUGCCAUCAUUUAGUUGGGCACUCUAGCAAGACUGCCGGUGACAAACCGGAGGAAGGUGGGGAUGACGUCAAAUCAUCAUGCCCCUUAUGACCUGGGCUACACACGUGCUACAAUGGGAAGUACAACGAGUCGCAAAGUCGCGAGGCUAAGCUAAUCUCUUAAAGCUUCUCUCAGUUCGGAUUGUAGGCUGCAACUCGCCUACAUGAAGCCGGAAUCGCUAGUAAUCGCGGAUCAGCACGCCGCGGUGAAUACGUUCCCGGGCCUUGUACACACCGCCCGUCACACCACGAGAGUUUGUAACACCCGAAGUCGGUGAGGUAACCUUUUGGAGCCAGC